AUCGCUUCUCCGCCUUUUGGCUAAGAUCAAGUGUAGUAUCUGUUCUUAUCAGUUUAAUAUUUGAUAUGUCCUGUAUUCGAGGACAAUAUAUUAAAUGGAUUUUUAGAAAAAAUAAAAGGCAAAUUGAAACUGAGUGUGGUGGCACGCACUGAUUGCCCAGCUGCCCAGUGGAGGAUGGCUUGAGCCCAAGAUUUCGAGGCCAGCCUAAGCAAC
rnacentral:snRNA from 1 species